rnacentral:rRNA from 1 species
GAUGAACGCUAGCUACAGGCUUAACACAUGCAAGUCGAGGGGCAGCAGGAUCUAGCAAUAGAUUGCUGGCGACCGGCGCACGGGUGAGUAACACGUAUCCAACCUGCCGAUAACUCGGGGAUAGCCUUUCGAAAGAAAGAUUAAUACCCGAUGGCAUAAUUAGACCGCAUGGUUUGAUUAUUAAAGAAUUUCGGUUAUCGAUGGGGAUGCGUUCCAUUAGGCAGUUGGUGAGGUAACGGCUCACCAAACCUUCGAUGGAUAGGGGUUCUGAGAGGAAGGUCCCCCACAUUGGAACUGAGACACGGUCCAAACUCCUACGGGAGGCAGCAGUGAGGAAUAUUGGUCAAUGGACGAGAGUCUGAACCAGCCAAGUAGCGUGAAGGAUGACUGCCCUAUGGGUUGUAAACUUCUUUUAUAUGGGAAUAAAGUUUUCCACGUGUGGAAUUUUGUAUGUACCAUAUGAAUAAGGAUCGGCUAACUCCGUGCCAGCAGCCGCGGUAAUACGGAGGAUCCGAGCGUUAUCCGGAUUUAUUGGGUUUAAAGGGAGCGUAGGUGGACAGUUAAGUCAGUUGUGAAAGUUUGCGGCUCAACCGUAAAAUUGCAGUUGAUACUGGCUGUCUUGAGUACAGUAGAGGUGGGCGGAAUUCGUGGUGUAGCGGUGAAAUGCUUAGAUAUCACGAAGAACUCCGAUUGCGAAGGCAGCUCACUGGACUGCAACUGACACUGAUGCUCGAAAGUGUGGGGUAUCAAACAGGAUUAGAUACCCUGGUAGUCCACACAGUAAACGAUGAAUACUCGCUGUUUGCGAUAUACAGUAAGCGGCCAAGCGAAAGCAUUAAGUAUUCCGCCUGGGGAGUACGCCGGCAACGGUGAAACUCAAAGGAAUUGACGGGGGCCCGCACAAGCGGAGGAACAUGUGGUUUAAUUCGAUGAUACGCGAGGAACCUUACCCGGGCUUAAAUUGCAAAUGAAUAAUCUGGAAACAGGUUAGCCGCAAGGCAUUUGUGAAGGUGCUGCAUGGUUGUCGUCAGCUCGUGCCGUGAGGUGUCGGCUUAAGUGCCAUAACGAGCGCAACCCUUAUCUUUAGUUACUAACAGGUCAUGCUGAGGACUCUAGAGAGACUGCCGUCGUAAGAUGUGAGGAAGGUGGGGAUGACGUCAAAUCAGCACGGCCCUUACGUCCGGGGCUACACACGUGUUACAAUGGGGGGUACAGAAGGCAGCUACCUGGUGACAGGAUGCUAAUCCCAAAAGCCUCUCUCAGUUCGGAUCGAAGUCUGCAACCCGACUUCGUGAAGCUGGAUUCGCUAGUAAUCGCGCAUCAGCCAUGGCGCGGUGAAUACGUUCCCGGGCCUUGUACACACCGCCCGUCAAGCCAUGAAAGCCGGGGGUACCUAAAGUACGUAACCGCAAGGAGCGUCCUAGGGUAAAACCCCU